rnacentral:rRNA from 1 species
GACGAACGCUGGCGGCGUGCUUAACACAUGCAAGUUGAACGGAAAGGCCCUUCGGGGUCCUCGAGUGGCGAACGGGUGAGUAACACGUGGGUGAUCUGCCCUGCACUUUGGGAUAGGCCUGGGAAACUGGGUCUAAUACCGAAUAGGACCACGCGCUUCAUGGUGUGUGGUGGAAAGCUUUUGCGGUGUGGGAUGGGCCCGCGGCCUAUCAGCUUGUUGGUGGGGUAAUGGCCUACCAAGGCGACGACGGGUAGCCGGCCUGAGAGGGUGACCGGCCACACUGGGACUGAGAUACGGCCCAGACUCCUACGGGAGGCAGCAGUGGGGAAUAUUGCACAAUGGGCGCAAGCCUGAUGCAGCGACGCCGCGUGAGGGAUGACGGCCUUCGGGUUGUAAACCUCUUUCACCAGGGACGAAGCGUAAGUGACGGUACCUGGAGAAGAAGCACCGGCCAACUACGUG